ACCAGCAUGGCUUAAUGGUUUGAGCGUUGGAAUAUGACUCUGAAGACCUAGGUUUGAUUCCCAGCUCAGUCA